UUCAAGGACCGAGCGUUCAGCUCGCGCAUACGCUUUCAUAUUCGUUAAUAACGAUAUUCGCGUUCGGUUUACUCGACCGAUGUCUUCGUUUUUCGUCGAUCGUUGUCGUAAAUUCGCACCUAAAGAAUAAAAUCUCUCUAUUUUCCUCUUCUCUUUUUCGAUGGGUUUUUUACGUCUCUACCAGACUGAAAACUGCGGAAAACUACUCUCAUUCGUAGAUAACGCGCGUUUCAGAAAACGUGGUUCGCGUUGCAACUUUUGUAGCAUUCAACGGUAAGAAGUUGGAAACAUUCUCGUCGUGUUCUUCGCACCGUCGUACGAUCGAUACCCACUCGACGAACCGUUUUACGUAAGUGAAACAGUGGACAGACGCGAGCAAAAACGGUAAUUAACCUGUUCUUCUUUGUGUCAAUCGAUGCGAGGUCGAGCUGAAUCCAGAUGUCGCGAUAUUAAUUUUCCAUCGAUAAAUUGCUAUUUACAUAACCGCUGAAAAUCGCAUUGUCACGGAAUGCACGUUUCCACGCAGACAUCCUUUCAUUAUGCGAUACAUUUACUCUACUUUGAUACAUUUCACGAGCUAACCUGUGAUUUCCCGUAAUUACCUGCAAUUACUUCGUAAAUAGUACGCUACCGUCUCGUUAAACGCGAAUAUAAUCGCCAAUAUAAUCGCCAAUAUAAACGUAAACAGACGACGAGUAAAUUCAAGAAUGAAGAAAUUAAAGAAGAAUUCCUUUACGAAUCUCCACCGAUCGGGUAUACAGUGGUAUCGAUAGAAACACCUUACUACGUGCUUUCUACAUUUACUUUUUACCACAACCUUUGUAUUUACGAUUCGUCGUUCCACGUAGAAUUACACAUUUUCCGUCAAAUUGUCUCUUCCUCGACAUCGAGCAGCGGUAUUUCCACGAACGAACGUUUAACGUUACUGAUGUAAGACGCGAUAUAAUAACGUAAAACGCGACAUACGAUGAAAUUUGUUUUCCAGCGGACGCGUAAAGGGUGUCCGUGCUGGUACUUGUAGCGACGAUAAUAUAUCUAAUAUACGUGUAACCUGUGUGGUAGGAGCGUCGACUAUAGUCGACGGACGAGUCAAUAAAUAUUCGCGGUCGCGCCGAACAGGUCGACGACGACAAACGGACGAUACGACGACGAAUGCGGUGCGAACGAUACGUGAUCUUUCGAUCAUCCGGGAAAAUACGGUGGACAAGCAAAAACCGGCGCGAACACGCAUCGGCUUGUAGUUUAUAAAAGUAAACUUUCGCGCCACCAGGCAACCGGUGGGCCGAAAAUAAACGUAGAUUCGCCAAUUUAUCUUUCCUGUAGUCGUCGCGUUGCUUCCUGAGAAAAGUACGGUCGACGGAUUUUCGAUUCGAUAGGUCGCAGACGGAUGCGAUUACCUCGGAUUUAUCGAUGGGGAAAAAUAUAACGUCCGCGGCCGAAACUAACCGGAUCGUCCAUAAAUUUCUCAGUCACCUUUCUACGAUAUUUUUAUAUUCCGUGUCGUUCGUAUUCCGCUACGUUCUAUUCAAAAUAUAAUGCGAUAUUCGCGCGUUAAUUUAACGAUACAAGUGCAGAUGACCGCGAUCAAAGAACGUCUUUGUCGCACCGUCUUGACGGUUGCGCGAGUGAAAAUAGAGGAAGACGCGUUCGUUUGUUCGUCUUCUUUUACAUUCUCCAAAUUACCCGACGUUACGACGAAAAAUCUUUCGAAUCUAUAGUUAAAAAGAGGACGUUAAAAAAUUAGAUACCUAAAUUCGUACGACAGAAUUCCUUUUAAAUAGAAACUAAUUUCUACUGAAAUUGGAUGUAUUUUUUCAAUGUAUCGGUCUAUUAUUUUAAUUACGAGCCUAGUGUGCCAUCCCCUCUGCCCCUUCAGAAGAAAAAUUUACCCAAGGAUUAUGUCGCGUAGCUCUUUAAUCCUCCGCGUAACGCUCCGCCCGAAUUUUCGUGUUUCAGUGCUACUUUCGUUUCAGCGAGCAACGAGGCUUUUUAACGUUCUGAGAAAAUCUUUAUGCUUAACAUUGAAAUAUGCGAGUAUAGAUACACGUCGAUAAGUACUUUUCUAUUUUAUCUUGAAAUUUAAAAAAUUGUACGAUCUUAUCGAUAGAGAAAUAAGAUUACGAAUGAAAAUCAUUUUGGCUCGUGCCAAGACAGGCAACGGCAUUCGGAUUUUUUCUAUUAAAAAAAAAAAAGAAAAAAACUGUAACAGAGUUGGGGAUAAACUUUGAUUUUCUGAUAGUCGAAUGUCGUUCCGAAACGUAGGAUAUCGGCACGACAAAUACGUUGCGACUAAAUAAAGAUUUCGACUAAAAAAAGGUUGCGACUAAAGAAUUCACACGGUGGUUUUCGUGGCUACACUUUUGUAAAAGUUGCUAGGUUGUAUUUACGGGUAAGAGUUAAAGAAAGAACUGGCUGGAUCGGAUACAGAAGAAAAGAGGAAAAAUAGAACGAAACUCUGAGCGCCAGUUGGCUGGACUAUAGCCGCUCGCGUGAUGUCAAACGUCGCUGUUAAAUUUACGCUAGUCAAACUACGCUUCCUCUCCGACUGUUUUCAACCGAAAAAUUCACAAAUCAAAAGGACGUUAUUUAAAAAUAUUCCUUUCUAUUUCUACACCAUAUGUAACUUCUUGUAAGAUCAGCGAUAAAAUUAAACCUUUUUUACGUCGAUCAAACCAACAAAAUCUAAUUGUAAUAUUUUUAAAUAAUAAUUUUACGUGUAUCUUUGUUCGUUUCAUCAAGAUUUCGGUAAUUCGGUCUUUGUUUUGCAAAUUUUUGAUUCGUCCCGACGUUCUUAUUUUAUAUCUGUCAGUUUUUACAUCAGAAUUUUUCCAUUACGGUAAAAUUAUAAAUUACGCGUGUACAUAGGUACCGAGAUAGCCUUCACUUUCUCGUUCAACUUCUUUUCUUCGCUUGAGAAGCGAAAUUGCGCGAGAAAUAGAAAAGCGAGGAAAACGAAGCAUCAAAUGGGAAGAGAGUGUUUGUUUGAUCUUUUGCUAAUUCUAAAAAUAUUCCUUCCAUCGUUAUUAUUAUUCGAACGUUCCUAUUCGAACAAUUUCUCAAGCAAGAAACAGCGAAACGUUUCGUCACUUUACGCGUCUUUCUUUACCGUUCGCGUAAAAGAUACGCAACAGAUCUAUUCUAUCGUCAAUGGAUCGAUCGGUUACCUUUCGAUCGUGUCUGUCCGCUAUUACGUUAGCAGCCGAUCGUUUCAUUGACGCGAGUAACCGCAUUCUGGCGAAGGCCAUCGAACGUCGACAAGAACGCGGACAAGAACAUCGAGCAAACUCGAUGCGAGCGAGUCAUCAACGAAAAUGUUGUCACUUGCUUUCGAGACUGCGAUCGAUGCAGCCAAAUUAAAAUUAGACCAGAAAGAUCGGAUUAUGCGAAGUUGGGUCGUACAAAGAGACAGCAUAAAGCCAUUAUCGAGCGAUUAUCGUCGUUGAAGGCUAAGCUAGAAAUUUCGAACGAUGAACCUUUACGCAGACGGUGUACUUCGUACUUUGAAUUUUUGUACAACAGUUCCGAAACAGCUUACAAAAGUAUUCCAACGUUUCCCAUAGAAAACUUUUAUGUGUAUAUAUAUAUAUAUAUAUAUUGUAUGUAUAAACGUAUACCGUAAAAGAUUUUCAAACCAAGCUUUUAGACAAAGAGCAAUGAAUACACAGUACAUACAGCUAUACACAGGUAUUAUUACGUUUAAAAAAAAUUACGUCUAUCGUGGAGUUAUCGUUUAUUUUCAAAUCGUUUCCAUUUAUUCGUUUUCAAGUCGUUCGUUUUCGCGCGUUUGCAAUAUUUAGAUCAGGCCAUUUAACUGUUUCAGACCCAUUAGUUACACGUUACAUAUCGUUUUAACUACAUUGUAUCAACCUUUUACACUGUGAUAUUCGAUUUUAAUCCAUUUACUGUUAUAAUUUGUUCCUAUUUUUAUCGUAGAGAUCGACAGGUACAUAACGUAUUAGCAACAUUAAGAGUACGAGAAAAGUCGAACGUUGGUAAAGUUUGU